AGCUGCUCUCAGACAGCAGCAGAGGAGCUGGAGGAAACUACAUGGUCAGUUCUGCUGCUCUGAAUCACACAGGAGUUUAUAUGUGCAGCGCAGAGAGAGAAAAACCAGUCUAUGAGACACGGAACAGCAACAAACAGCUUCUAUGGGUCACUGGUGUUUCUCCUCCAGUCUCUCUGAUCAUCAGUCCCAGCAGAACUCAACACUUCACAUCUGUCUCUCUCUCUCUGAGCUGUGAGGACCAGAGUAACUCUGAUAGAUGGACAGUGAGAAGAUACACAGACACUUGGGGACUGGAAGAUUGUUCAUCAUCUCCGUCGGGAUCACAAACAGGAUCUACAUGUAGAAUCAGCUCCACCAUCCCAUCAGACACUGGAGUGUACUGGUGUCAGUCUGAAUCUGGAGAGAUCAGUCAUCCUCUUAAUAUCACUGUACAACUUGGUGUGAUUCUGGAGAGUCCUGUUCAUCCUGUGACUGAAGGAGAUUCUCUGACUCUACGCUGUUUAUAUGAACAUUCAACUCCACUAAUCCUCAGAGCUGAUUUCUAUAAAGAUGGAUCACUCAUCCAGAAUCAAACUACAGAGAUGAUCAUCUCUACUGUCUCAAAGUCACAUGAGGGUUUCUACUACUGCAAACACCCAGAGAGAGGAGAGUCACCCAAGAGCUGGAUCUCAGUCACAGAUAUUCCCAAUCCAACUCUGACUGUUGAACCACAGGGUUCACUGUUCACUGGAGACUCAGUUACUCUGAGAUGUGAGGUGGAUCAAAUAUGGGUUAGAUGGGUGUUUAUCUGGAGUAGAGACUCAAACACUGAAUCUACUGAAGCUGCAACUAAAAUAAUCAGUUCAGUGACAGUCUCUGAUGGAGGAGAGUACAGGUGCAGAGCACAAAGAGGAGGACUUUACACACAUUACAGUGAAACAGUAACAGUGACAAUAAACGGCAAACCAAAAUCCAAAGUGAGAAUUAAACCUGAUGAACAUGUAUUCAGAGGAGAGACAGUCACUCUCAGAUGUGACAUUGAUGGUGAAGGAGUCUCUAGCUGGAAGUACAGCUGGAAUAAAGACGGUUCAGUCAGUGUUUUCAGUGAACUACAGGAACACACAUUCAGUUCUGUUACUGAGUCUGACGCAGGUAAAUACUCCUGUUAUGGAGCCGAGAGAGGAGGAUCACGAACAACACACAUCAGUGAUGAAGUUACACUUACAGUAUCAGAUAAACCCAGAGCAGUUUUAAGUGUUUCUCCACAGAAGUGGUUGACUGAAGGAGAUCCAGUGACUCUGAUCUGUGAGGUUAAAGACUCCUCUACAGGUUGGACAUUCAGCUGGUUCACUCUAACUGUUUCAUCAGACAACAGCAAUCGUUAUGAGCUGCUCUCAGACAGCAGCAGAGGAGCUGGAGGAAACUACACGGUCAGUUCUGCUGCUCUUAAUCACACAGGAGUUUAUGUGUGCAGCGCAGAGAGAGGAAAACCAGUCUAUAACACAACCUACAGCAACAAACAACCACUACGGGUCACUGGUGUUUCUCCUCCAGUCUCUCUGAUCAUCAGUCCCAGCAGAACUCAACACUUCACAUCUGUCUCUCUCUCUCUGAGCUGUGAGGACCAGAGUAACUCUGAUAGAUGGACAGUGAGAGCAUACACAGACAUUUGGGGGCUGGAAGAUUGUUCAUCAUCACGCUGGGGAUCAAAAACAGGAUCUAUGUGUACAAACAACUCCACCAGCACAUCAGACACUGGAGUGUACUGGUGUCAGUCUGAAUCUGGAGAGAACUAUCAUCCUGUUAAUAUCACUGUACACUCUUGUGUGAUUCUGGAGAGUCCUGUUCAUCCUGUGACUGAAGGAGAUUCUCUGGCUCUACGCUGUUUAUAUGAACAUUCAACUCCACCAAUCCUCAGAGCUGAUUUCUAUAAAGAUGCAUCACUCAUCCAGAAUCAAACUACAGAGAUGAUCAUCUCUACUGUCUCAAAGUCACAUGAGGGUUUCUACUACUGCAGACACCCAAAGAGAGGAGAGUCACCCAAGAGCUGGAUCUCAGUCACAGAAAGACCAAAAUCCAAAGUGAGCAUCACACCUGAUGAACAUGUAUUCAGAGGAGAGACAGUCACUCUCAGAUGUGACAUUGAUGGUGAAGGAGUCACUAACUGGAAGUACAGCUGGUAUAAAGACGGUUCAGACAGUGUCUUCAGUGAACUACAGGAACACACAUUCAGUUCUGUUACUGAGUCUGACGCAGGUAAAUACUCCUGUUAUGGAGCAGAGAGAGGAGGAUCACGAACAUCAAACAUCAGUGAUGAAGUUACACUGACAGUAUCAGAUAAAGCAAAGACAGUUUUAAGUGUUUCUCCAGAGAAGUGGUUGACUGAAGGAGAUCCAGUGACUCUGAUCUGUGAGGUUGAAGGCUCCUCUACAGGCUGGACAUUCAGCUGGUACACUGAAUAUAUUUCAGACUACAGAAGUCAUAAUUAUCAGCUGCUCUCAGACAGAAGCAGAGGAGCUGGAGGAAACUACACUGUCAGUUCUGCUGCUCUAAAACACACAGGAGUUUAUGUGUGCAGAGCAAAGAGAGGGAAACUAGCCUAUAGCACAUGGUAUAGCAACACACAGUUAAUAUGGGUCACUGGUGUUUCUCCUCCAGUCUCUCUGAUCAUCAGUCCCAGCAGAACUCAACACUUCACAUCUGUCUCUCUCUCUCUGAGCUGUGAGGACCAGAGUAAUUCUGAUAGAUGGAGAGUGAGAAGAUACUCAGACGGAUUUGGGCUGUUUGAUUGUUCAUCACGCUGGGGAUCACAAAAAGGAUCUACAUGUACAAUCAGCUACACUGUCCCACCAUACACUGGAGUGUACUGGUGUCAGUCUGAAUCUGGAGAGAACAGUCAUCCUGUGAAUAUCACUAUCCAACAGGAUAUGAUUCUGGAGAGUCCUGUUCAUCCUGUGACUGAAGGAGAUUCUCUGACUCUACGCUGUUUAUAUGAACAUUCAACUCCACCAAUCCUCAGAGCUGAUUUCUAUAAAGAUGGAUCACUCUUCCAGAGUCAAACUACAGAGAUGAUCAUCUCUACUGUCUCAAAGUCACAUGAGGGUUUCUACUACUGCAAACACCCAGAGAGAGGAGAGUCACCCAAGAGCUGGAUCUCAGUCACAGAGAGACCAAAAGCCAAAGUGAGCAUUAAACCUGAUGAACAUGUAUUCAGAGGAGAGACAGUCACUCUCAGAUGUGACAUUGAUGGUGAAGGAGUCUCUAGCUGGAAGUACAACUGGAAUAAAGACAGUUCAGUCAGUGUUUUAAGUGAACUAGAGGAACACACAUUCAGUUCUGUUACUGAGUCUGACGCAGGUAAAUACUCCUGUUAUGGAGCAGAGAAAGGAGGAUCGCGAACAUCAAACAUCAGUGAUGAAGUUACACUGACAGUAUCAGAUAAACCCAGACUAGUUUUAAGUGUUGCUCCACAGAAGUGGUUGACUGAAGGAGAUCCAGUGACUCUGAUCUGUGAGGUUAAAGACUCCUCUACAGGCUGGACAUUCAACUGGUUUACUGUUACUGUUUCAUCAGACUACAGGAAUCGUCAUAAGCUGCUCUCAGACAGCAGCAGAGGAGCUGGAGGAAACUACACGGUCAGUUCUGCUGCUCUGAAUCACACAGGAGUUUAUGUGUGCAGAGCAGAGAGAGGAAAACUAACCUAUAACACAUGGUACAGCAACAAACAACCACUAUGGGUCACUGGUGUUUCUCCUCCAGUCUCUCUGAUCAUCAGUCCCAGCAGAACUCAACACUUCACAUCUGUCUCUCUCUCUCUGAGCUGUGAGGACCAGAGUAACUCUGAUAGAUGGACAGUGAGAAGAUACUCUGACAUUUGGGGACUGGAAGAUUGUUCAUCAUCACUGUGGGGAUCACAAACAGGAUCUACAUGUACAAUCAACUCCACCAGCAUAUCACACACUGGAGUGUACUGGUGUCAGUCAGAAUCUGGAGAGAUCAGUCAUCCUGUUAAUAUCACUGUACACCCUGGUGUGAUUCUGGAGAGUCCUGUUCAUCCUGUGACUGAAGGAGAUUCUCUGACUCUACGCUGUUUAUAUGAACAUUCAACUCCACCAAUCCUCAGAGCUGAUUUCUAUAAAGAUGGAUCACUCAUCCAGAGUCAAACUACAGAGAUGAUCAUCUCUACUGUCUCAAAGUCACAUGAGGGUUUCUACUACUGCAAACACCCAGAGAGAGGAGAGUCACCCAAGAGCUGGAUCUCAUGUUUGUGUGUCUCUUUUUCAGUUUCUCAUUCAGAAUCUCAGAUCUCUGUCCUCCACACACUCAGUUCUGUACUGGCAGUUUGUCCAUAUCUGCUAGUGACAGUCGUGCUGAUCUUCAAGUGCUGCAGGAUGAGAGCUAAUGGUUGUUAGAUUCAACAUGAACCAGAACUUCAAACCCUUGGACUUCUGAGUGAAACUGGAUAUUCAACAAGAAUACAUAUCGACUGCAGGUUUCAGGAAGUCUUGAGACUUUAACACAGUUUGUGUCUUUAACUGUCUGUCAUCAUUCAGUCAGUAUGGAGCUCAGUCAACUUC